CCUACGGGAGGCAGCAGUGGGGAAUAUUGGACAAUGGGCGAAAGCCUGAUCCAGCAAUGCCGCGUGUGUGAAGAAGGCCCUAGGGUUGUAAAGCACUUUCAGUAAUGAGGAAAGCUAGAAGGUUAAGAGCUAUCUAGUGUGACAUUAGUUACAGAAGAAGCACCGGCUAACUCUGUGCCAGCAGCCGCGGUAAUACAGAGGGUGCUAGCGUUAAUCGGAAUUACUGGGCGUAAAGCGCACGUAGGUGGAUGCUUAAGUCAGAUGUGAAAGCCCCGGGCUUAACCUGGGAACUGCGUUUGAUACUGGGCAUCUAGAGUAUGGUAGAGGGAAGUGGAAUUUCCGGUGUAGCGGUGAAAUGCAUAGAUAUCGGAAGGAACAUCAGUGGCGAAGGCGACUUCCUGGACCAAUACUGACACUGAGGAGCGAAAGCGUGGGUAGCAAACAGGAUUAGAUACCCUGGUAGUCCACGCCGUAAACGAUGAGAACUAGACGUUGGAAGGGCGUGACCCUUUUAGUGUCGUAGCUAACGCGAUAAGUUCUCCGCCUGGGGAGUACGGCCGCAAGGUUAAAACUCAAAGGAAUUGACGG
rnacentral:rRNA from 1 species